ACGCUCUCGUCGGCCGCCGUAGGCUCGCUGGGUUUAAAUGCCAAAAAAUCGGAAGUGUUCUCAGGACUCGCUUUAGCUUCUUGAAGAUUGUGGCGGGUUCAGAGGGAAGGAAAGUGAAUUUUUCCCUGGUGAAGGUUUAGAAGCGGAGAGGUUGUGUAGAAAGGAAGUUGGGGCGCCCUGCAGUCGGGGGUGCGAGGUCACAGGUCAGAUUUGCGGGUCCCUCAAAAGGGCGCCGAGGUGGGAGACUGCGGAGGAUCCGAGUAUGUCAAUGCAAACCUAGUUUGGGUUCCACCUAGGACUUCGCGAUUACGCCGGGGGCGGCGCCCUCCCUGUGGGGGUUUGUGGGUCCGAAGGGGGCAGCGUCCCGGGAUCCCGGGGCCGGGGAUUGCAGAUCGGAGGCCACGUGGCCCGGGAGGUCUCGGUGCAGUCGGGCUGGGGGUCGGGUUAAGGCUCAGGCUCAGGCUGCCUGGCUAAGUAUGCGGUCUCCCCAGCCUGAAAUCAGCAGCCUGUCCCACCGUUUUGUAGCGUAGAUUUGCAGGCUUGCUGACCCCCGUCGUGGAAAAAGAAUUUUCAGGAUGCAUCAGUGGAGUCCCUAAAAAGGAUCAUUAGGAUGGAGAUGGAGGACGCACCCAGGGGUGGAGAAAUGAGGCGCUUUACAAGGUUGGAACUGGGACCAUCUGUGUCUUUCGUCUUGGCAAAAGAUACCCGCCUCCCACACGUCAGCCCGUCUACAGGCCGUCAUCCCAGUCCUAUGGAGCCUUCAUGACCCAAUCUCCUAAAGGCCCUACUUCCUCCCACUACUGCACUGGAGUUACAUUUCAGCCUGAAUUCCAGAGGAAUGCAAACUUUCCAUCCACAGCAGUGGUUGGGAAUUUAGAUGUUUGGAGAUGUUCCUGCCCUUCCCUGGACAUGGAGCCCAUCAGUGGGAUAAACUAAUCUUGGGAUCCUUAACUCAGUUAUAUCUGCAAAGGUGUAGAUUCCAAAGGCCACAUCCAGAGGUUUGUGGGAGUUAGGACAUGGACCUAUCUUUUGGGCAGCUACCAUUUCACCCAUACAACAAGAACAUUUGAGUAAAGAAAGAGAAGAGGGGGUUCCUGGAUGUGCAUAUCAUUUCGUGGGAUAUCCUUGGCUUAAGUAAAAAUUUAAGGCAGAUCCAGAAGACGCUAAAGACAGAGCAUCUCAGUUCCUGGCUGUUCCUGAAGCAGAGGAAAAUGACAAAGGCCCAGGUGGUUAUCUGCAUGGAUACCUGGGUCUGCCUUUCUGUACAUAUCUAUGUGUGUGUGUAUCUGUACACAUGUGUGCUUAUGUUCUUACACAUGCAUCCAGGAGUCACUGACUGGAGGACGUGGCCAGGAGGUUCAUAUGGGAGCAGUGGCAGCUCCUGGGCCCUGCUCAGAAGGACCUGUACCAGGAUGUGAUGCUGGAGAACUACAGCAGCCAGUGUCAGUGGUGUUUCAAGCCAGCAGGCCAGAUGCGUUCUGCACGUUGGAAUGAGGAGAGCCACUCUGGACAUCAGAAGAUGAAAUCCGCAGUCAGAUCCAUCUGGAAAGCAAGAAAGCUGAUGAUCAUCUGCAGCAGCAAUUAUAAAACUGAAGAAGACCAAAGACGCUGGAACAGUGUUGUGAACAGAAUGCACUUGGAAAUAAACACCAUUUUCUUUUAGGCCCAAAUCAGGAUAUGUUUGAUUUACAUGGAAAAAGUUUGAAACUUUAUUUAGGUUUAUCCAACCAGGAUAGAAAAUGUACCAUAAAAGAGCUUGCUGAGUUAAAUGUAGAGAGGAGAGCCUUUCUGUAUGAUACUCAUGAGCAAACUCAUACUAAAAUUAAACCCCAUGAAAGUAGAAAAUCUAUCAUCACUGAGUCAUAGUUCUUUAAAGACCAGGAAAUACAUAAAAUAGGGAAAGCACAUGCAUGUGCUAAAUAUGGGAAAGCUUUCCUCAAGAAGUCUCAGCUUUGGGAUUGGGGAUUUAGCUCAGCGGCAUAAGCACCUGCCUUGCAAGCAGGGGGUCGUGAGUUCGAUUCCUGGUACCAAUAAAAAGGAAAAAGACGAAAAAAAAAAAAAGUCUCAGCUCGCUGGACAUAAAAAGAUUCAUUUAGGAAAGAAAUCUCGUGAAUGUAGUAUCUAUGGGAAAACCUACAAGAAGUUCUCUAAACAUCUGAAUGUUCACAAGAGAGAAACUCUGACUGGUAAAUGUGCGAAAGCCUUCUUCAGGAAAUCUCAGGUUUUCAGCAUCAGAAGAUACUGGAAGUAAGCCCCAUGUGUGCCCCAAAUGUGGGAAAAGUUUGCCGUGAAAUCGCCACUCAUUGUGCAUAUGUGGAUUCAUAUAGGAGAGAAGCCUCACUUAUGUGGUGAAUGUGGAAGAGGGUUCAUUCAGCAGAAGGGCAUUCUUCUGAUACAUCAGCAAACUGUCAUGGGAGAGAAGCCCUAUGGAUGUACCGACUGUGGUAAGGCCUUCAGCCAGAAGGUCUGCCUCAUAGCUCAUCAGAGAUACCACACAGGAAAGACAUCUUUUGUAUGUAUAGAGUGUGGACAGUCCUAUUCACAGAAGUCAGUGCACAUUAGACAUCAGAGAGGUCACACCGAGAGAAACUCUAUGAAUGCAGUGACUGUAGGAAAGGCCAAGCUGAUUACCCAUCAUAGAGCUCAUGCGGGAGAGCAACCCUAUGCAUGUAAGGAGUGUGAGAGAGCUUACUCCUACAUGUCUUGCCUUGUUAAACACAAAAGAACACACAGCAGGGAGAACUACAGAGAUGCAGAGAAGGUGCUAAUUCCUCAGUGAGUCACACCGUCUCUGACAGAAGUAAACUCCUGCAAGGGAAAAACCUUGUUAAUACAACUGUGCAAAUACCUUCUGUGGUCCCUAAGGUGUCAAAUAUCAGUGGGUUCCUAGGAAAUAGGAAUGUGGUGCCUGUGGGACCGUCCAGAGGCCAAAUGUCUGCCCUCAGGAGAAAACAAUACCUGAGAGAAACCUCUUGAAUGUGAUGAAUGUGGUUGUACCUCCAGUCAUUAAUUAUGUCUAAUUUUAUAUCUCAAACAUGUAAGAAAAAAGCCUGUAUAUUAAUUUGGAAAAAACUUGCUGAAUGUUUACUGAAGUGCUACCUUUGAAAUCCUGUGAAAACGGAAACUAGGAAAGUUUUCUAGAAGCUGGACCUUAUAGUGAAUAAUCACUGUGGAUUAUGGUGGAGCUUAUGAUAAUGAAUUGAUUGUGAGAAAGCCUUUGCCUUCCAGAGGUGGUGUUACAUACCAGAGAGAAACUGGGAAGGCAGUAAACCAGACUGGUAGGGACUAAAGUGAUACCUUCUGUUCCCAUUAGCAGAUAAAACCAUAUUUAAAAAACAAAAAACAGGGUCAGGGAUUUAGCUCAGUGGCAUAAGCAUCUGCCUGGGAAGCACAGGGUCAUGAGUUCAAUCCCUGGUACCAAAAACUACAAAGAAAACAUUAACUGGAGAGCCUUUAGCAAAAUUCUAAAGUGAUCUUGAUACAAACAUCCUGUGAAAAGGAGAAAUGUUUAAACUCUGUUCUUUUCCAAACCUAAUUAUUCUGAACAGAAUAACUGAAAUAUAUUCCUAUUACUAUGUUGGUGAUUCCAUAAUUUAAGAGCCUCAGAGACAGGAAGUACAAUUCAGAUACAGCUCUUGCCCUUGCCCACCAUGCCCAAGGCCUUGUAUUUGACUGUCAGUACUGCAAAAAUAAGAAAACCUCUAUUUCCCACUA